GAGAUGGUGCGUUCCUUCGGGGACAGAGAGACAGGUGGUGCAUGGUUGUCGUCAGCUCGUGUCGUGGGAUGUUGGGUUAAGUCCCGCAACGAGCGCAACCCCUAUGGUCAGUUGCCAGCAGGUCAAGCUGGGCACUCUGGCGAGACUGCCGUUGACAAAACGGAGGAAGGUGGGGACGACGUCAAAUCAUCAUGCCCCUUAUGUCCUGGGCUACACACGUACUACAAUGGUUGGUACAACGAGUUGCGAGUCGGUGACGGCGAGCUAAUCUCUUAAAGCCAAUCUCAGUUCGGAUUGUAGGCUGCAACUCGCCUACAUGAAGUCGGAAUCGCUAGUAAUCGCGGAUCAGCACGCCGCGGUGAAUACGUUCCCGGGCCUU
rnacentral:rRNA from 1 species